GACGAACGCUGGCGGCGUGCUUAACACAUGCAAGUCGAACGGAAAGGCCCUGCUUUUGUGGGGUGCUCGAGUGGCGAACGGGUGAGUAACACGUGAGUAACCUGCCCUUGACUUUGGGAUAACUUCAGGUAACUGGUGCUAAUACCGGAUAGGAUCUCCUGCUGCUUGGUGGGGGUUGGAAAGUUUCGGCGGUUGGGGAUGGACUCGCGGCUUAUCAGCUUGUUGGUGGGGUAGUGGCUUACCAAGGAUUUGACGGGUAGCCGGCCUGUGAGGGUGACCGGCAACAUUGGGACUGAGAGACGGCCCAGAAUGCAACGGGAGGCAGCAGGGGGGAAUAUUGCAAAAUGGGAGGAAGCCUGAUGCAGAAACGCCGCGAGCGGGAUGACGGCCUUCGGGUUGUAAACAGAUUUAGACUGUGACGAAGAGUGAGUGACGGUAAUGGGUAAAGAAGCACCGGCUAACUACGUG
rnacentral:rRNA from 1 species